rnacentral:rRNA from 1 species
GAUGAACGCUGGCGGCGUGCCUAAUACAUGCAAGUCGAGCGAACGGACGAGAAGCUUGCUUCUCUGAUGUUAGCGGCGGACGGGUGAGUAACACGUGGAUAACCUACCUAUAAGACUGGGAUAACUUCGGGAAACCGGAGCUAAUACCGGAUAAUAUUUUGAACCGCAUGGUUCAAAAGUGAAAGACGGUCUUGCUGUCACUUAUAGAUGGAUCCGCGCUGCAUUAGCUAGUUGUUAAGGUAACGGCUUACCAAGGCAACGAUGCAUAGCCGACCUGAGAGAGGGAUAGGCCACACUGGAACUGAGACACGGUCAAGACUCCUAAGGGAGGGAGCAGUAGGGAAACUUCCGCAAUGGGGGAAAGCCUGACGGAGCAACGCCGCGUGAGUGAUGAAGGUCUUCGGAGCGUAAAACUCUGUUAUUAGGGAAGAACAUAUGUGUAAGUAACUGUGCACAUCUUGACGGUACCUAAUCAGAAAGCCACGGCUAACUACGUG